rnacentral:sRNA from 1 species
AAUUUAAAUAAUAAAUAAUCGAAAAGAAAAUAAAAUCAAAAUCCAGCAGCAGCAGCAAGGAAAUUCAAGGGAAAAAAUAUCUCUGCUUUAUAACGCAAAAAGAAAUACAAACAAAAAGAAGCAGAAAAAGAGGGAAUAUAAAGAAAAAGCAAAGAAGAUCUUUUUUAAAACCUGUGUGCAUUUCUUUACGUUAAUUUUCAGUUCAUCGAAUUAUCAACAAGAAAA